rnacentral:rRNA from 1 species
UACGUAGGGUGCGAGCGUUGUCCGGAAUUAUUGGGCGUAAAGAGCUCGUAGGCGGUCUGUCGCGUCGAUCGUGAAAACUUGGGGCUUAACCCUGAGCUUGCGGUCGAUACGGGCAUGACUGGAGUUCGGCAGGGGAGACUGGAAUUCCUGGUGUAGCGGUGAAAUGCGCAGAUAUCAGGAAGAACACCCGUGGCGAAGGCGGCUCUCUGGGACGGUACUGACGCUGAGACGCGAAAGCGUGGGGAGCGAACA